rnacentral:misc_RNA from 1 species
UACAGAGGCCCCGAGCGUUACCCGGAAUAACUGGGCGUAAAGCGUCCGCAGGUGGAUAUGCGCGUCUGCUGUUAAAUCAUUGGGCUCAACCCAAUGCUCGCGGUGGAUACGGCAUAUCUUGAGGCAGGUAGAGGUAGACGGAACUCCUGGUGGAGCAGUGAAAUGCGUUGAUAUCAGGGGGAACACCAAUGGCGAAGGCAGUCUACUGGUCCUGUCCUGACACUCAGGGACGAAAGCGUGGGGAGCGAAUGGG